rnacentral:rRNA from 1 species
CCUACGGGUGGCAGCAGUGGGGAAUAUUGCACAAUAGGCGCAAGCCUGAUGCAGCCAUGCCGCGUGUGUGAAGAAGGCCUUCGGGUUGUAAAGCACUUUCAGCGGGGAGGAAGGCGGUGAGGUUAAUAACCUCAUCGAUUGACGUUACCCGCAGAAGAAGCACCGGCUAACUCCGUGCCAGCAGCCGCGGUAAUACGGAGGGUGCAAGCGUUAAUCGGAAUUACUGGGCGUAAAGCGCACGCAGGCGGUCUGUCAAGUCGGAUGUGAAAUCCCCGGGCUCAACCUGGGAACUGCAUUCGAAACUGGCAGGCUAGAGUCUUGUAGAGGGGGGUAGAAUUCCAGGUGUAGCGGUGAAAUGCGUAGAGAUCUGGAGGAAUACCGGUGGCGAAGGCGGCCCCCUGGACAAAGACUGACGCUCAGGUGCGAAAGCGUGGGGAGCAAACAGGAUUAGAUACCCCAGUAGUC